rnacentral:rRNA from 1 species
AUGCACGUGACGAAGAACCUUUGCGUGAACCUGUUAAGCUUCUUGGGCGUGUAUGGGAAGACAAAAGAUACACCUGAGGCACGGGAGGACCUACAACGUUUGCACGAAAAAGACGGCAUGCCUCCAAAGCAGUAUGAAGGUCCUGCCAGCUACGCUCUUACCAAAGAAGAGAAGGAGAUCUUUUUUGAAUGCCUGCUCAGUAUGAAGGUCCCGACUGGCUUCUCGUCGAAUAUAAAGGGAAUAAUAAAUAUUCCAGAAAAAAAGUUCCAGUACCUAAGGUCUCAUGACUGCCACGUGAUUAUGACACAACUGCUUUCGGUUGCAUUGAAGGGGCUUCUACCGGAAAACGUCCAAUUAGCCAUUGUGAAGCUAUGUGCAUUCCUCAAUGCAAUCUCUCAGAAGGUGAUCGAUCCAGAAAUCAUGCCAAGGCUAAGGAGUGAUGUGGCGCAAUGUCUUGUCAGUUUCGAGCUAGUGUUCCCACCGUCCUUCAAUAUCAUGACGCACAUCCUAGUUUAUCUAGUCGACGAGAUUGUCAUUCUGGGCCCCGUAUUUCUACACAAUAUGUUCCCCUUUGAGAGGUUCAUGGGAGUCCUAAAGAAAUAUGUCUGUAACCGUGCUAGGUCAGAAGGAAGCAUCUCCAUGGGCCAUCAAACAGAGGAUGUCAUUGGGUUUUGUGUUGACUUCAUUCCUGGCCUUAAGAAGAUA